rnacentral:rRNA from 1 species
AUUUUUAGAAGUCUACCACUCUACUUAAAUACUACAAGCUAUACUCUUCAAAUUUAAAGGAUUUGGCGGUGCUUUAGUCCAGUUAGAGGAACCUGUUUUAUAAACGAUACACCACGCAAUAUCUCACCCGCUCUCACAACUUGUAUACCGUCAUUAUUAGAUUACUCCCAAAGGAAUAGUUAUUUCAAAAAACCACGGUUUCAUAUAUUAGAUCAAGGUGCAGUCCAUGAGCGGGUUUUAAUGGGUUACAAUAAAACUUAUUUAUAACGAAUUUAAGAUUUAAACAUCUCAAGGAAGGAGGAUUUAAUAGUAAAAUUAGUUUAGCAAGCUAAUUUGAUAAUGGAUCUAAACCAAGUACAUAUCGCCCGUCGCUUUCAUUUUCAAAUGAAAUAA